GUGCUUUCGCAGGCGCCAUUAUUCACAGAGAUAGUCUCGGUCAAAAUCUCAUUUUAAAGUUGGAUUUAGGAUUUUGAGAAUGGUUCCUACACUUCCUUUGUAAAUUAUUUUUUGUUAAAUGUAACAAACUGUAUCGUUAACUUAGUUGCUGCCUGGCUUGUUUGGCAAAUGAAUGUCGGAGCCGUUGCAUUCAACAUUUUCAGCAUACCAUCACAUCUUAACGUUACUCGACGUGGAGGAGCAGGCAGAGUAAUUGUCAAGAAAAGAAGACACCAUUAACGUUACGACUUUUUAUUUAAAAGAGAUUAUAUGACCAGAAGAUCUGACAUCACGGAGUUCUUCAAGGAUAACACACCUUUUCUGCCAAACGAGGUCAUAAUUGCUGCUGUACUUUGCAUCCCAAGC